AUCAACUUUCGAUGGUAGGAUAGAGGCCUACCAUGGUGGUAACGGGUAACGGGGUGUUAGGGCACGACACCGGAGAGGGAGCCUGAGAAACGGCUACCACAUCCAAGGAUGGCAGCAGGCGCGCAAAUUACCCAAUCCCGACACGGGGAGGUAGUGACAAUAAAUAACAAUACGGGGUUCUUUAGGAUCUCGUAAUUGGAAUGAGUACAAUUUAAAUCUCUUAACGAGGAACUAUUGGGGGGCAAGUCUGGUGCCAGCAGCCGCGGUAAUUCCAGCUCCAAUAGCGUAUAUUAAAGUUGUUGCAGUUAAAAAGCUCGUAGUUGAAUUUCGGGGUUAGUAGGUUGGUCAUGCCUCCGGUAUGUACUGGUCUCACUGAUUCCUCCUUCCUGACGAACCGUAAUGCCAUUAAUUUGGUGUUGCGGGGAAUUUGGACUGUUACUUUGAAAAAAUUAGAGUGUUUAAAGCAAGCUAACGCUUGAAUACAUUAGCAUGGAAUAAUGAAAUAGGACGUUCGAUCCUAUUUUGUUGGUUUCUAGGAUUGACGUAAUGAUUAAUAGGGAUAGUUGGGGGCAUUAGUAUUCAAUUGUCAGAGGUGAAAUUCUUGGAUUUAUUGAAGACUAACUACUGCGAAAGCAUUUGCCAAGGAUGUUUUCAUUAAUCAAGAACGAAAGUUAGGGGAUCGAAGACGAUCAGAUACCGUCGUAGUCUUAACCAUAAACUAUGCCGACUAGGGAUCGGAUGAUGUUAAUUUUUUAAUGACUCAUUCGGCGCCUUACGGGAAACCAAAGUGUUUGGGUUC
rnacentral:rRNA from 1 species